rnacentral:rRNA from 1 species
GUCGGCAGCUAGCUCUUUGCUUAGUUCUCACAUGGUCGCCUACUAACAGUAAACAAAGCUGGGCCUGGUUAAUACCUGGUUGGGAGACCACAUGGGAAACUAGGUUUUUGCAGGAA